GGCAACUAAGUGAGAGUGAGAGCAAGAGUAGUCUUGUAGGAGUGUGAGUGAUCUAGAGUGUGUCUCUAGAAAGUGAGUGAGUGUCAUUGCUUCUAAAGUUGUGUCCUUGUGAGUGUUGUAAUAUUUUGUGUGUGUAAUACAAGUAAUUUGUUUACUUGUGUUGUCUUUCCAACACUUGUGUUAGAGUUGUGUACUCUAAGUUUU
rnacentral:lncRNA from 1 species